ACCGUGUUAGCCAGGAUGGUCUCGAUCUCCUGACCUCAUGAUCUGCCCGCCUCAGCCUCCCAAAGAACACCUACCUCUUAACACAAAAACCUGAGUGAUGUUUCAACAUUAAAGCUUUUUUUUUUUUUUUUAAACUUUUGGGCCAGGUCAGAUUUACGGGAGAGGAAGUGUUUACGCACCAGUGGAGCUAUUCGGGCACCAGUCUCCGUAUGGACUGAGGGUUUCCGGCUGAUUUGGGCCUGGGCCCUCCUUGUGUGGCUUCCAAGGCAGCCCUCAGGCAGAGAGAUGCAGACACUAGCAUUUGGAAAUCAGCUGGCGGCACCGAAGGUGUCAGGUCCGGGUGCACCUCACUUAGGAGUUGGCUGGACCAGAACGGGGAGGCAGAGGAAUAGUUUCAGCAGCACAAAGGCAGAGGGAGCCCAGGUGGAGGCCCUUAAUCUCACCUGAAGAGGUCAAGGCUGGCGUCGCAGAGGAGGCAGUGCUCAUCUUGGAGUCUGAAGGAUGAACUGAAUUUUAUCAGGGUUACCAGCUGCCGUGAAGAGAACGUAACACACCAAGAAUGCAGACAGGUCUGGAAUGGAUAAAGAUCUGAGAUUUUUCACCCAGAUGGAAAAUGGUACAGCAGCAGUGGCUGACAUUGCCCAGGGGGUGUAUGUAGAAUCACAAUGAUAGGAAAAGGGCAGUUCUGCUUUUGCCUUACCACGUGACCCUGGAGAGUGUCACCUGUCCCUCAGUUCUCGUUUACAACAGAAGGUGGCGCCAGGUGUGAUAAUUCAAGCAUCCCUUUUAACACUCAUGUAAUCAUGUAAUGCUGCCAAUAAACACUGCCGCAAGGA